rnacentral:lncRNA from 1 species
AUGCAAUAUUUUUUUAAAUACCUGAUUAACACCUGCUUAAAUAUUUUCUUCCAAUCUUUAAUUAAACAGUUAAGAAAGUUGAAAGUAGCUGAUAUGGGACCACAGAAUAUUGGCCAAUCAGUGUUUUACAUAAUGUCUGUGGAGUGGCCAUGUGCUCUAGAAGAGUGAGACAACCUUGGCAUAACCUUCUUUAAGAGCCAAUCACAUAACACUGUGAAUAUUUAUACAAUUUUAGACCAUUACCUGUUUCAGCUCCCUUUGAUGAUUCAUGCUAAGGGUAGAGAACCGGAAGGUAUGUUUUCCUACAGAAUCAUAAAAAUAGCCAAAAUAUAUUUUUCUUUUAGCCAUGCAUUUCAACAUGUAUAAACUCUCUGGAUGGUAUUUCUUACCAUUUGGUCCAACUCUACUUCCUGAAGACACUGUAUGAAAAGAACUAGUCUAAUUUAAGAAAGAAUCUGUCCCUGGUAAAACAAUACAUAUAAAAAGGAAAAAAGAAAUCAUCUAAUUCAGCCAACUUCCCUAAAGCCUUGAUCUUAGAAUCUGGGUUUUAAAUAGAAAACUUAAACAAGAGUUACUAUCCAAGUUAUUUUGUUCUCAGUACAUGCAGGGUCAUUUUAUGAAAAAU